rnacentral:rRNA from 1 species
CCUACGGGUGGCAGCAGAGGGGAAUAUUGGACAAUGGGGGGAACCCUGAUCCAGCCAUGCCGCGUGUGUGAAGAAGGCCCUCGGGUUGUAAAGCACUUUCAGUGAGGAAGAACGCCUGGUGGUUAAUACCCAUCAGGAAAGACAUCACUCACAGAAGAAGCACCGGCUAACUCCGUGCCAGCAGCCGCGGUAAUACGGAGGGUGCGAGCGUUAAUCGGAAUUACUGGGCGUAAAGCGCGCGUAGGUGGCUUGAUAAGCCGGUUGUGAAAGCCCCGGGCUCAACCUGGGAACGGCAUCCGGAACUGUCAAGCUAGAGUGCAGGAGAGGAAGGUAGAAUUCCCGGUGUAGCGGUGAAAUGCGUAGAGAUCGGGAGGAAUACCAGUGGCGAAGGCGGCCUUCUGGACUGACACUGACACUGAGGUGCGAAAGCGUGGGUAGCAAACAGGAUUAGAUACCCGAGUAGUC